rnacentral:lncRNA from 1 species
UUCUGAGGUCUACGUGGCCUUCGCUGUCCGCAAUUGAGAGACGUGCCAGCUGUUCACCACCGAGCUAGGCCCUUUGCCUUCACAGAGAAGAGCAGACACUGCCAUGGACCCGUCUCUGUCCCUGCCACAUGGCCCCAGGCCCAAGACACUCCCCCUAGGAGGGAUCCUUUUCCCAGAAGCUCCACCCCUCGGCAGCUCCAGUCAGGCCCCAUCUGGGCCCUUCCAGAAGCAACCCAGGAGCCCCGAGACCUGCAGGGGUGUGUGCACCCUGACCCCUGAUGCAUAGCCCUGCACCUGCAGCCAGCUGGCCUCGGGCUGCAAACAUGGUGGGGUAAGCACUGGCCUGGCACCUGACCACCCACUGGGUGGACCCAGCCUUCUGUCUGUGUUGUGCACAGGGGACACGAGGACUCCCCCUGCCCUGCCGCAGCCCCCAGAGCACAUGGUGCGGGUUCCAAUCCGCGCCUGCCCUGCCACAGCCUCCAGAGCACAUGGCGCGCUUUCCAAACCACUCCUGGGAGCCUAGAGGCCAGAGGAGGGAGGAGAGCAGGACCAGCAGCUGGCCCAGACCCCGCCUCUUCCUACACCACUUCCGCUUUUCUCCCUCCUCACUGAGUCAUCUUGAAAGGGCUCAGCAGCAGUAACUGUGGGACAGGGGCUCUUCCAUUUGAAAAAUUAAAAGAGGCUUGGUUAAGGCACCAA